AAUCUACUGUCUCAGGACCUCUACUUUUGUA
rnacentral:piRNA from 1 species